UAUUUACACGCGCGCACUACUGUCUGUUCUGGUGAUCUUGAUCGGAAAAAGAGAUUGAUCAUUGGCAUUUCUGGCUUUUAUAAUCAACGGCCAUCUGUGGAACAGAGCUAGAUUAAACAUGCAACAUUCAACAUACAUCUAUUGUUUAAUCUUUUGCGCUCAUAAUUUGGUCAUAUACCCGAUUUUUGCUGGCUCCAUCUGUCUGUCAAACUAAAGACCAAGAAGUACUUUACCCAGUCUCUUUACAAUGUUAUACUGUCAGACGGCCCGUCAAACAGUGGGUACAGUAAAAGUGGAACAGAGCUCUUGCACUCAUCAAGCCAACUGAGUGAAGCCACCCGUUCCAUACUGGUAUUAAUGGGAUCUUACUUCGCAAAGGGCGUAUUAGUCAUAACCGGGAAUUCGGGAAAGGAAAUUGGAAAUAUCAAUAAAUCUUGUGGCGGAGCUACAAGUCCAAUUUGGAACCAACGGUUACAAUACCCCGUUGUCCCUCCUAAAAAAAAUGAAGAAUUUUCAUUUUGUUUAAACAUUCUAGUAUCGGUUCACGCAUAAUUAAUGCUGGGAAUAGGCCCUUUUUAAACACUUGUUAAUCUUCAUCGCUCACGAGAUGAAGCAAAGGUUCUCAUCAAGGGGUACUUGGUACUCAUACUCAUACGUAUGCAAAAUUAUCCACUUGUCACUUCUGCUAAUGUUUACGAUCGACGCGAAAACAACGGUCCGCGAAACCGAGUUUACAACGUUUACCCGCGAUUUACACGACGAAAUCCCGUCCAAAAAGGUAUCCGUCAGCAAAGUUCCAGCUAUAUUCGGACCCGCGAUUCAACUAUUCAUUAACCGGUCAACUUCCAUCCAUCUGUUCUGGGAAUCUGUCCGAUAGCGAUCUUCUUCCUACGGAGGCGAUUAUGGGGGUUUCCACCAACAUUCGUGCUUCAUUGAUGCCCGCGUCCGGACGACUGAAUGAAUCGUUUGCUGAUCAUUCACCGAAUAUGGCCUGCGAUAGGAUAAAUAAGAACGCCAGCUUUUCCACAGAAGCUGGUCCUAAUCGAGGGUAUAAACUAAUCCGCAGAGCAACAACUCCAUCCCGACGGAUCUGAGUGUGUCCGCUUCAACAAAUUGAUGAUCUUUAAUCUCGGGUGGCCGACCCGAGCAGAAGAUGUACUUUAAAUACCUCACUGAACUCGUCAGGAGAAAACAAAUAAAACGUUGUCGAUUUUGGGUGUUUUUAUUCUUUGGAGAGAAUAUAAGAAAGUUUAUCGUUGUGCCACCA